GUAGGUGGCAAGCGUUGUCCGGAAUUAUUGGGCGUAAAGCGCGCGCAGGCGGUUCUUUAAGUCUGAUGUGAAAGCCCACGGCUCAACCGUGGAGGGUCAUUGGAAACUGGAGAACUUGAGUACAGAAGAGGAAAGCGGAAUUCCACGUGUAGCGGUGAAAUGCGUAGAGAUGUGGAGGAACACCAGUGGCGAAGGCGGCUUUUCUGGUCUGUAACUGACGCUGAGGCGCGAAAGCGUGGGGAGCAAACAGGGACUAGAUACCCUGGUAGUCCACGCCGUAAACGAUGAGUGCUAAGUGUUAGGGGGUUUCCGCCCCCUUAGUGCUGCAGCUAACGCAUUAAGCACUCCGCCUGGGGAGUACGGCCGCAAGGCUG
rnacentral:rRNA from 1 species